rnacentral:rRNA from 1 species
CCUACGGGUGGCAGCAGUGAGGAAUAUUGGUCAAUGGACGGAAGUCUGAACCAGCCAUGCCGCGUGCAGGAAGACGGCUCUGUGAGUUGUCAACCUCUUUUGUACAAGGGUAAACCUGAAGACUUGUAUGCGGCUGAAGGUACUUUACGAAUAAGGAUCGGCUAACUCCGUGCCAGUAGCCGCGGUAAUACGGAGUAUGCAAGCGUUAUCCGGAUUUAUUGGGUUUAAAGGGUGCGAAGGCGGACUGGUAAGUUAGAGGUGAAAUGUCCGGGCGUAACCCGGGAACUGCCUUUAAUAUUGGCGAGCUAGAGAGUAGAUGAGGUAGGCGGAAGGGACGGUGUAGCGGUGAAAUGCUUAGAGAUCAUACAGAACACCGAUUGCGAAGGCAGCUUACC